CGGACGAACGCUGGCGGCAUGCCUAAUACAUGCAAGUCGAGCGAACAGAUGAAGUGCUUGCACUUCUGACGUUAGCGGCGAACGGGUGAGUAACACGUAAGGAAUCUACCUAUAAGCGGGGGAUAACAUUCGGAAACGGGUGCUAAUACCGCAUAAUAUCUUCUUCCGCAUGGAAGGAGAUUGAAAGACGGCUCUGCUGUCACUUAUAGAUGACCUUGCGGUGCAUUAGUUAGUUGGUGGGGUAACGGCCUACCAAGACGAUGAUGCAUAGCCGACCUGAGAGGGUGAUCGGCCACAUUGGGACUGAGACACGGCCCAAACUCCUACGGGAGGCAGCAGUAGGGAAUCUUCCGCAAUGGGCGAAAGCCUGACGGAGCAAUGCCGCGUGAGUGAAGAAGGCCUUCGGGUCGUAAAACUCUGUUAUAAGAGAAAAACAAAUUGUAGAGUAACUGCUACAGUCUUGACGGUAUCUUAUCAGAAAGCCACGGCUAACUACGUG
rnacentral:rRNA from 1 species